CAGAGACAACGGGCUGCCUCGCUAAACGAUGCACACCUGUAACUCACGUGACCCUGGUUAUUAUUGAAACGAGAACGAGGGCGUCGUGCCUUUAUAAGACUGCGUUAAUGGUUCCGUGGAGUUAUCCCUUCCGUUGUUGUUUAUUGAUUGUUAAACAUGGCUUCAUUUACAAAGGUGGUUGUGUGUGUCCUCAUUGCUUGUGUCUGUAAUGCAUUCGGUUUUCCGAAGAGAGAUGUGAACUUUAAGGCCUCUGCAGUUGACCGCCAAAGUGAUGAUGUGGUUGUCACCACAACAGCCGUUCCCCACAACCAGACCACCUCUGCCCCUACUGAAGCUGGUGAUGGAGCAAGUGAAGAUGCUGUGGCUACUACCCCAGCACCUAAUCCACACAACCAGACAACUUCUGCACAAACUGAAGUUACUGAUGGGGCCAGUGAAGAUGCUGUGGACCGCCAAAGUGAUGAUGUGGUUGUCGCCACAACACCCAAUCCCCACAACCAGACCACAUCUGCCCCUACUGAAGCUGGUGGAGCAAGUGAAGAUGCUGUGGCUACUACCCCAGCACCUAAUCCACACAACCAGACAACUUCUGCACAAACUGAAGUUACUGAUGGGGCCAGUGAAGAUGCUGUGGACCGCCAAAGUGAUGAUGUGGUUGUCGCCACAACACCCGUUCCCCACAACCAGACCACCUCUGCCCCUACUGAAGCUGGUGGAGUUUUUAUUUAUUAAUUUUUUUACGAUAUUUUUUGGGUUCUGUUGAGUCUUGAUUGUGUUGGUUAAAUGUUCACUUUUGUAUGGUUAUCCUAAGAUGGAGCAAGUGAAGAUGGAGCAAGUGAAGAUGGAGCAAGUGAAGAUGGAGCAAGUGAAGAUGGAGCAAGUGAAGAUGGAGCAAGUGAAGAUGGAGCAAGUGAAGAUGGAGCAAGUGAAGAUGAUGCAAGUGAAGAUGAUGCAGAUGAUGAUGAUGAUGCAAGUGAAGAUGCUGUGGCUACCACCCCAACACCAAAUCCCCCAACUACAUCUGACCACACUGCAGCUACCGAUGAUGCAAGUGAGGGUGCUGUGGCUGCCCAAACUGGAACUACUGUAUCCCAUACGACUGAAGUCUGAUUCGACUGCUCCUCUGGUCACAAUGACCUGUCUGGACUUUUUGCCUCUACAUGUUCACUGCAAUAAAGGACAGAUUUGUAUUUUUUUUUUAAUCAAAUGUUGUCUUGCCUUUUUCAAAUUGAGGCCUUGUCCUGUUUUGGUAGUGGAGAUAACUGACGCCUCUUUCCUAACGCACUACAUUUCUGGCAACUUAUAAUGCAUAGUGAACAUGUAAUAAUUCGGUGGUAUGAUCCCAGGAGAACAUUUUUAAGAAACAAAUCACAGAAUUGUGGUUCCUCGCCGUUUUUUUUUUAAUAUAAAUCGAGGCUUUCCUCAUAAUACCGCAAGAACAAAAAGGAAAUAAAAACUAAACGAGUCAAUUCCUCAAAAUGAUAUGAAUUGCUACUGCUGCACUCGUAAAACUUCUAACUAAACUGAAAUUAAAAACCAAACUGAAA
ensembl:lncRNA